GACGUGGCAUCUGUGGGUGUGACAGAAGUUAUUCUGAGUGACUUCUGAGGCUCAGUCAGAAGCAGCUUCUACUCAGUGACCUUGGGCCAUUUGUUCUGAGGGAGGCCAAUCUGACUGCCUAAGGCCAUCAUGCUGAAGAGGCCACCUGGGUGCAUUCCUGUUGACAAUCCCAGCUAAGUCCUGCCUUCCAGCCAUUUCCCUCAAGAUGCAGACUUGUGCUGAAGCUGCAUUGGACCCUGGAGACCAGCCCACGC